GUGGAUUAGAUACCCUGGUAGUCCAUGCCGUAAACGGUGGGUACUAGGUGUGGGUUUCCUUCCACGGGAUCCGUGCCGUAGCUAACGCAUUAAGUACCCCGCCUGGGGAGUACGGCCGCAAGGCUAAAACUCAAAGGAAUUGACGGGGGCCCGCACAAGCGGCGGAGCAUGUGGAUUAAUUCGAUGCAACGCGAAGAACCUUACCUGGGUUUGACAUACACCGGAAACCUGCAGAGAUGUAGGCCCCCUUGUGGUCGGUGUACAGGUGGUGCACGGUCGUCGACAACU
rnacentral:rRNA from 1 species